UAAGGGGAGGAAAAGAAACUAACAAGGAUUCCCUCAGUAGCGGCGAGCGAACAGGGAAAAGCCCAGCGCUGAAUCCCCCGGGCCUCGCUCGGCGGGAAAUGUAGCGUUUGGGAGGGUCCGUUAACACGGCGCAUCGCUCUCUCGCUCAAGUCCAACUUGAAUGGGGCCACAAAGAGGGUGACAGGCCCGUAGAGCAGUAGCGUUCGUCGUGUGGGCCUCUCCUUAGAGUCGGUUUGCUUGAGAGUGCAGACCUAAGUGGGUGGUAAACUCCAUCUAAGGCUAAAUAUAACCACGAGACCGAUAGCACACAAGUACCGUGAGGGAAAGGUGAAAAGAACUUUGAAGAGAGAGUUAAAUAGUACGUGAAACUUCAGUGGUGUAAACGGACGAGAUCGAAAAGUCCGAUCGGGGAGAUUCAGGCCUAUCCGAGCCGGUGGUCUCUGGGGUUGCAGAUGGUGCGGACUGCCCGGCUCGCCGGUGUCUGCUUCGUAUCCACUCGCCUCGGGGGCAUCUGUCUGGAGCGGUGGGCUGCACUUCUCCCCUAGUAGGACGUCGCGACCCGUUGGGAAAUUGUUCCGUUCUAUGACUCGCGGUGGAGCCCGUGCCCGAGCGCAGAUUUCGGUUUGCGUUGCGGUGUGCGGACCCGUGAUGAUCUGAUCGGCGCCCGACGGUAUCAAAGCAAUUGGGAAGGAACCGCACAGAGGUUGCGUCCGAUGCUCACUUUGUGGGGCUACACUCGGACAGGUUCGUACCCGGUCAGCGGCGCUACUGCUUUCGAUACUCGUCCGACCCGUCUUGAAACACGGACCAAGGAGUCUAACAUGUGCGCGAGUCAUUGGGCUCUGCGAAACCUAAAGGCGAAAUGAAAGUGAAGGCCAUGCACUUGUGCUGGUGCUUAGGGGUGAUGGUCGUUCCUACACGGGCGACUCGCAACCCCGGGGCGUCUCAUUCUCUUUGAGAAGUGGCGCACCCAGAGCGUACACGUUGGGACCCGAAAGAUGGUGAACUAUGCCUGGCCAGGACGAAGUCAGGGGAAACCCUGAUGGAGGUCCGUAGCGAUUCUGACGUGCAAAUCGAUCGUCGGAGCUGGGUAUAGGGGCGAAAGACUAAUCGAACCAUCUAGUAGCUGGUUCCCUCCGAAGUUUCCCUCAGGAUAGCUGGUGCUCGGAGAAAAGAGUCUCAUCCGGUAAAGCGAAUGAUUAGAGGCCUUGGGGCCGAAACGACCUCAACCUAUUCUCAAACUUUAAAUGGGUGAGAACUCCGGCUUGCUCAGGUGAAGCCGCGAGAAUUUUUUGGAUCAGAGUGCCAAGUGGGCCAAUUUUGGUAAGCAGAACUGGCGCUGUGGGAUGAACCAAACGCAGAGUUAAAGCGCCUAAAUCGACGCUCAUGGGAAACCAUGAAAGGCGUUGGUUGCUUAAGACAGCAGGACGGUGGCCAUGGAAGUCGGAAUCCGCUAAGGAGUGUGUAACAACUCACCUGCCGAAGCAACUAGCCCUGAAAAUGGAUGGCGCUGAAGCGUCGUGCUUAUACUCUGCCGUCAAGGCAAGAGAGGACCUCAGUCAAGAGGCCAUGAAGCUUUGACGAGUAGGAGGGUCGCGUCGGUGUGCGCAGAAGGGUCUGGGCGUGAGCCUGCCUGGAGCCGCCGACGGUGCAGAUCUUGGUGGUAGUAGCAAAUACUCCAGAGAGGCCCUGGAGGACUGAUGUGGUAGAAGGGUUUCGUGUGAACAGCCGUUGCACACGAGUCAGUCGAUCCUAAGCCCUAGGAGAAAUCCGAAGUCGAUGUGCGAGUCUUGUCAUGUUUAAAUUUUCUUUGCUGAAAGUUUUCGUGCAAAAAGAGCAGACCGCCAUCGGGCGAAAGGGAAUCCGGUUCCUAUUCCGGAACCCAGUACCGGAACCGAUCCAUUCGGGCCCUUAAAGCUCGUCAGGGUAACCUAACAUGCCCCGGAGACGCCGUCGGGAGCUGCCGGGAGAGUUAUCUUUUCUGUAUAAGUGCGCAUACUCCCUGGAAGCCUCUAGCAGGGAGAUAGGGAGCAGCGCGCGAAGAGCAUCGCACUUGCGGCGUUGUCGGCAGCAUCCUCUCGGACCUUGAAAAUCCGGGUGAGGGCCACGUGGACGUCCGGUCUGGUUCGUACCCAUAUCCGCAGCAGGUCUCCAAGUGAAGAGCCUCUAGUCGAU
rnacentral:rRNA from 1 species